CGGCCCACCGCUGGGGGCCGGGGCGCAGGAGGCAGUCUCUUGCUUGCCCGCCCCAAGGGUAGAACGAGGCCGGCGGCGCCCCCUGCCUGCCAAGGGCAGCUGGCGAGGCGCGCGGGAAGCGGCGGGCAGCCGCUGUAUCUCUGUUUCUGCGCCCACCCUCGGAUUUGCGCCUCAGAACGCGUGGACACAAAGGUGACGCCUUGGGGGCAUCCAGUCGGACCUCGCGGUAGCUCCCUACACUUUACAAAUGCCCAGAGCAGUUGCCCCCAACCUUCAGAGGUCGAAAACUCAGCGACACUUCAGACAGCCUCCCGCUACUGGGGCAUAUCAUGGAGCCACCGGUCCCAGAAACUCAAGACCUGAGAGGGUGGCGCUGCAGGCGAUGAAAUGCUCAGAAAGGGCUGGGAAUGGAGCUCCAUGGAGAGAGCCCGCUGGAGCGCAAUGCUAUCUGAGGCUUUUGGGUUACAAUUAAAAGCAAAAGGUGUCAUUUUACCCACUAAAGGCAGAACACUGUUGCGGCCUCUGCAGAACCCCAGAACAUGCAGAAUUAAUUUGCUUCGCUUGUAAAAGACAUUUUGAACGCACUUCAAAUAGCAUAUUUUCUUGUUUAUUCUUGAUUUUGGAAGGCUUGAUCCUCUUGUUUGUAACUCAAGGUUUUGGGUUGUUGUUUGAUUUUUUGUUUUUCUCUUUUGGAGAAAAGAUUUAAAUUAUCCUGCCACUCUCUUGUUUGUUUUCUGACAUUUCUUUUAACAGAUUACCAAGCAGUUUGUUUAGUGUUUUUGCUGGGUCACUAUUCCCUGUUAAUUAGUGUGAAUUAGGGAAAUACCUAGCCCCCCACCCCCACCCCCAGUGCCAAGCCAGAGGAGGCUGGUGAGCUUGCCUACCUGCAGUUGCCCUCCACAGAUUCAGACAUCGCAGAAAAUAAAAGUCCUCUAACUAUGGCCUGCAGACAAAAUGGCUGGACCAGCCCAGGCCUCACCCUGUUCAAAUUAGUCCUCAAGCUGUCUCUGCCCAAUUUAUCUGGAGGAAAGUCUCACAUAGUUCUCAUUACUGAUACAAAUUAGGAGGACUGAUUGCAGCUGGCCAGGUCCCUGCUUGAAAUCCAAAGGGAGAAUGGGAGAAGAUGCCGGCUCUUGGCUGGGUUAAAAUCAUUAUCAAAGUUCCUGGACCCCAAACUCCUCCUUCUGCCCACACUGGUGCCUCUGAACUGGGAGCUGCUCUCCAGGGUAUUGUUUGAAGUCUGCCAGGACCCCCCCCCAUAUUGGAUGGAGUGAAAACCAGAUAGAUGCUGCAAAGAAGGGUCCUCUGAGCCCUGCUCUUAAAAAAAAAAAAAAAGAAAGAAAGAAAGCAAAAGUCACUCAGCAAGACUGACAUUUCUGUGGGACUGUGAACCUUGGAGAAGGAGAUGCUUGCACCUUUAGCCAUUUCCCACGGUUUUCCUAUCAAUAAUUCCAUCCUGCUUUCCCUAUCUCUCACUCUCUUCUUCUUCCUCUACCUGUUGGAUCAGAACUAAAAAAUAAAUACAAUAAAUAAAAUUGAAGAGAUCAAAGCACAAGUAGAAAAAUGGCUUAGAUCCAAGGCUAAAUUGAAGCUACAUAUUCCUUUUCACCUAUAUUAGUUAUCAGGUUUUUUUCUUAACAAAAUGCCCCAAAAUAUAACAGCUUCAAUCUGUAAACAUUCAUCAUUUCACAUAAUUUCAGUGGGUCAAGAAAUCAGGAGAGGCUUAGCUAGGUGCUAUGUUUUGGAGCCCCCCCAGGAAGUUGCAGUCAGAUGUCAACAAAAGUUGCAGUCACCUGAGGCUUUAUGGGUUGGACAGUUCUCACAAAGUCAUCCAGAUGCUUCAUGCUGGGCAGGUGAGUGCUGAGUGUUGGGUAUGUAGUCUCAUGAACCUCUCUAUCUGGACUCUUGAGCAUGGUCACUUCAUGGCAGCUUGCUUACCUCAAAGGAGAGCCACACAGAAGGUACAGUGUCUUUUAUAACCUAGCCUUAGAAACAGCAUUAUUUCUGCAAUGCCCUAUUGUCACAUGACUGGGUCCUCUUCAACACAGAAGAGAUCUAGACAGGAAUAUGUACACCAGGAGUUAGAAAUCAUUGGAAUCCCACAUCACCUUUCUGGGAGGUGGGACUGUGAACCUUGGAGAAGGAGAUGGAUCCUUGUGAUAGGCAGCAAGCAAGAGGGAGAGAAAAGGUGCAUACUUUGUACUAGAAAAAGUAACAAGAAGAGUUCUUUUAUAAGUUCUGGAUACCAGCUCAUUUCAGAUCCAUCUCUUACUUGCCUUUUCAUUUUAAAAAUAAAAUAAAAUUAUUUUCAAAAGUA